rnacentral:rRNA from 1 species
GUAGUCAUAUGCUUGUCUCAAAGACUAAGCCAUGCAUGUGUUAGUAUGAACUGAUUUUAUAUAGUGAAACUGCGAAUGGCUCAUUACAUCAGUUAUAGUUUAUUUGAUGGAUACGCGUUCAGCACUACAUGGAUACCUGUAGUAACAUAGAGCUAAUACAUGCAUAAGAAUCUGACUUUACGGAAGGAUUUGCACUUAUUAGAUACCAAACCAAUAUCCUCUCGGGGAUUUAUUAGGUGAAUCACAAUAACUGAACAAAUCGCAUAGUCUUGCACUGGCGAUGUAUCAAUCAAGUUUCUGCCCUAUCAACUUGAUGUUAGUGUAUUGUACUAACAUGGUUUUUUACGGGUAACAGAGGAUUAGGGUUCGAUCCUGGAGAAGGAGCAUGAGAAAUGGCUACUAUUUCUAAGGAAAGCAGCAGGCG